GGUGCUCGGUUCUUCUGAGGAAGCUAAGGCCGCGUUGGGGUGAGGCCCUCACUUCAUCCGGCGACUAGCACCGUGCCCGGCAGCGCUCUCUCAGUACUCGCUCGCGCCAUGGCCUCCAUCUCAGAGCUCGCCUGCAUUUACUCAGCCCUCAUCAUGACGAUGAGGUGACCGUCACGGAGGAUAAGAUAAAUGCCCUCAUUAAAGCAGCUGGUGUAAAUGUUGAACCUUUUUGGCCUGGCUUGUUUGCAAAGGCCCUGGCCAAUGUCAACAUUGGGAGCCUCAUCUGCAAUGUAGGGGCUGGUGGACCUGCUCCAGCAGCUGGUGCUGCACCAGCAGGAGGUCCUGCCCCCUCCACUGCUGCUGCCCCAGCUGAGGAGAAGAAAGUGGAAGCAAAGAAAGAAGAAUCUGGGGCGGCGCCUGUGGCUCAAGGAGUAGGGCGCCAGUCCCAUAUGCCAGAGGUGGCGGGUUCAAACCCAGCCCCGGCCAAAAAAAAAAAAGAAAGAAGAAUCUCAGGAAUCUGA